GUGCUCGCUUCGGCAGCACAUAUACUAAAGUUGCAACGAUACAGAGAUUAGCAAAGCCCCUGAGCAAGGAUGACACACAAAUUUGUGGAGCAUUCCAAAGUUUU